rnacentral:rRNA from 1 species
AGCUUGCUUCGGUGACCCGAGUGGCGGACGGGUGAGUAACACGUGACCAACCUACCUUCGGGAGGGGGACAACCUGGGGAAACCUGGGCUAAUACCGCAUAUCGUCCACGGGUCGCAUGACCUGUGGAUAAAAGGGAGCCUCUGCUUGCAUGCUCUCACUCGAAGAGGGGGUCGCGGCGUAUCAGCUAGUUGGUGGGGUAACGGCCUACCAAGGCGACGACGCGUAGCGGGUCUGAGAGGACGACCCGUCACAUUGGGACUGAGAUACGGCCCAGACUCCUACGGGAGGCAGCAGUGGGGAAUAUUGCGCAAUGGCCGAAAGGUUGACGCAGCGACGCCGCGUGUGGGAGGACGCCCUUCGGGGUGUAAACCACUGUCAGGGGGGAAGAACUUCGCAGGUGUGAAUAGCGCUUGCGGUUGACGGUACCCCCAGAGGAAGCGCCGGCUAACUCCGUGCCAGCAGCCGCGGUAAGACGGAGGGCGCAAGCGUUGUUCGGAAUUACUGGGCGUAAAGGGCAGGUAGGUGGUCUGUUAAGUCUUCUGUGAAAAUCCGGGGCUCAACCCCGUGAAAUGCAGGUGAAACUGGCAGACUUGAGACCGGUAGAGGCUAGCGGAAUUCCUGGUGUAGCGGUGGAAUGCGUA